rnacentral:rRNA from 1 species
UACGGGGGGAGCGAGCGUUGUCCGGAAUCAUUGGGCGUAAAGGGCGUGUAGGCGGCAGGGCAAGUCGAAUGUGAAAUCCCACGGCUCAACCGUGGAACUGCGUUCGAAACUGCCUUGCUUGAGUGCGGGAGAGGUGUGCGGAAUUCCUGGUGUAGCGGUGGAAUGCGUAGAUAUCAGGAAGAACACCGGUGGCGAAGGCGGCACACUGGCCUAGCACUGACGCUGAGGCGCGAAAGCGUGGGGAGCGAACGGG